rnacentral:rRNA from 1 species
GUCGUAACAAGGUAGCCGUAGCGAAAGCGAGUCCGAACAGGGCGUGCACCUUUGGGUGCGUUAGUCGCGGGGUGUAGACCCGAAGCGGGGUGAUCUACCCAUGGCCAGGGUGAAGCGGCUGUAAGAGGUCGUGGAGGCCCGAACCCACCAGGGUUGAAAACCUGGGGGAUGAGUUGUGGGUAGGGGUGAAAGGCCAAUCAAACUCCGUGAUAGCUGGUUCUCCCCGAAAUGCAUUUAGGUGCAGCGUUGUGUGGUGGAUGCCUUGGCA